rnacentral:rRNA from 1 species
UACGUAGGCAGCGAGCGUUGUUCGGAGUUACUGGGCGUAAAGCGUGCGUAGGCGGUGAUCUAAGUCUGUUGUGAAAUCUCCCGGCUUAACCGGGAGGGUGCGGCGGAAACUGGGUUGCUGGAGUGCGGGAGAGGGAUGCGGAAUUCCAGGUGUAGCGGUGAAAUGCGUAGAUAUCUGGAGGAACACCGGUGGCGAAGGCGGCAUCCUGGACCGAGAUUGACGCU